GCGGGCGUAGCUCAGUUGGCUAGAGCGUCAGCCUUCCAAGCUGAGGGUCGAGGGUUCGAGUCCCUUCACCCGCU
rfam:Sulfurimonas denitrificans DSM 1251, complete genome.